AUUGAACGCUGGCGGCAGGCCUAACACAUGCAAGUCGAGCGAGCGGCGGACGGGUGAGUAAUGCUUAGGAAUCUGCCUGUUAGUGGGGGACAACAUCCCGAAAGGGAUGCUAAUACCGCAUACUAUUAGAUGAGCCUAAGUCGGAUUAGCUAGUUGGUGGGGUAAAGGCCUACCAAGGCGACGAUCCGUAGCGGGUCUGAGAGGAUGAUCAGCCACACUGGGACUGAGACACGGCCCAGACUCCUACGGGAGGCAGCAGUGGGGAAUAUUGCACAAUGGGCGCAAGCCUGAUGCAGCCAUGCCGCGGAUGUGAAGAAGGCUUCAGGUUGUAAAGCACUUUCAGCGGGGAGGCGUUACCGGCAGAAGAAGCACCGGCUAACUCCGUGCCAGCCGCCGCGGUAAUAC
rnacentral:rRNA from 1 species